rnacentral:rRNA from 1 species
UACAGAGGUCUCAAGCGUUGUUCGGAUUCAUUGGGCGUAAAGAGCGUGUAGGCGGCCCGAUUAGUCCGCUGUGAAAGUCCAGGGCUCAACCCUGGAAUGCCGGUGGAUACUGUCGGGCUAGAGUCCGGAAGGGGCGAGUGGAAUUCCUGGUGUAGCGGUGAAAUGCGCAGAUAUCAGGAGGAACACCAAUGGCGAAGGCAGCUCGCUGGGACGUGACUGACGCUAAGGCGCGAAAGCGUGGGGAGCGAACAGG